rnacentral:rRNA from 1 species
GUUGUAAGGUUAAGAAAUUAAGCGUACACGGUGGAUGCCUAGGCAAUCAGAGGCGAAGAAGGACGUGUUAAUCUGCGAAAAGCGACGGUAAGCUGAUAAAAAGCGUAAUAGCCGUCGAUGUCCGAAUGGGGAAACCCAGUGUGGGUAACUACACUAUCAUCUAAUGAAUCCAUAGUUAGAUGAGGCGAACCGGGAGAACUGAAACAUCUAAGUACCCCGAGGAAAAGAAAUCAACCGAGAUUCCCUAAGUAGCGGCGAGCGAAAGGGGAGUAGCCCAAGCGGGUAGCAUAAAGUAUUAGUGGAAGCGUCUGGAAAGUCGCACGAUAGAGGGUGAAAGUCCCGUACACGAAGGUGCGUUAUGUGGAAGCUUAUAGAGUAGGGCGGGACACGUGAUAUCCUGUCUGAAGAAGGGGGGACCAUCCUCCAAGGCUAAAUACUCCUGAUUGACCGAUAGUGAACCAGUACCGUGAGGGAAAGGCGAAAAGAACCCCGGGAGGGGAGUGAAAUAGACCCUGAAACCGUGUACGUACAAUCAGUGGGAGCUGUUACCGUUGGGUAAUAGUGACUGCGUACCUUUUGUAUAAUGGGUCAGCGACUUAUAUUCUGUAGCGAGGUUAACCGAAUAGGGGAGCCGAAGGGAAACCGAGUAUUAACUGUGCGUUAAGUUGCAGGGUAUAGACCCGAAACCCGGUGAUCUAGCCAUGGGCAGGUUGAAGGUUGGUUAACACUAACUGGAGGACCGAACCGACUAAUGUUGAAAAAUUAGCGGAUGACCUGUGGCUGGGGGUGAAAGGCCAAUCAAACCGGGAGAUAGCUGGUUCUCCCCGAAAGCUAUUUAGGUAGCGCCUCAUGAAUGACUGUUGGGGGUAGAGCACUGUUUCGGCUAGGGGGCCAUCCCGGCUUACCAACCCGAUGCAAACUCCGAAUACUGACAAGUUGAAUCAUGGGAGACACACGGCGGG